rnacentral:rRNA from 1 species
UACGGAGGGUGCAAGCGUUGUCCGGAUUUAUUGGGUUUAAAGGGUGCGUAGGUGGUUUUUUAAGUCUGGUUUGAAAGCAGGCGGCUCAACCGUCUGAUGUGGCUGGAAACUGAGGAACUUGAAUGGAUUGGCGGUAGCCGGAACGGGUCAUGUAGCGGUGAAAUGCAUAGAUAUGACCCAGAACACCGAUUGCGAAGGCAGGCUACUACGAUUUGAUUGACACUGAGGCACGAGAGCAUGGGUAGCGAACAGG